UGACCUGCGGAAGGAUCAUUACUAGAGCAAAGGAUAGACAGCGCCCGCGGAGCUCGCUCCCGGGGCCACCCUACUCCGGUAGGGUUUAGAGUCGUCGGGCCUCUCGGAGAAGCUCGGUCCUGAACUCCACCCUUGAAUAAACUACCUUUGUUGCUUUGGCGGGCCGCCUCGUGCCAGCGGCUUCGGCUGUUGAGUGCCCGCCAGAGGACCACAACUCUUGUUUUUAGUGAUGUCUGAGUACUAUAUAAUAGUUAAAACUUUCAACAACGGAUCUCUUGGUUCUGGCAUCGAUGAAGAACGCAGCGAAAUGCGAUAAGUAAUGUGAAUUGCAGAAUUCAGUGAAUCAUCGAAUCUUUGAACGCACAUUGCGCCCUCUGGUAUUCCGGGGGGCAUGCCUGUUCGAGCGUCAUUAUAACCACUCAAGCUCUCGCUUGGUAUUGGGGUUCGCGGUUUCGCGGCUCCUAAAAUCAGUGGCGGUGCCUAUCGGCUCUACGCGUAGUAAUACUCCUCGCGAUUGAGUCCGGUAGGUCUACUUGCCAGCAACCCCUAAUUUUUUAAGGUUGACCUCGGAUCAGGUAGGGAUACCCGCUGAACUUAAGCAUAUCAAUAAGCGGAGGAAAAGAAACCAACAGGGAUUACCUCAGUAACGGCGAGUGAAGCGGUAACAGCUCAAUUUGAAAGCUGGCUCUUUUAGGGUCCGCGUUGUAAUUUGUAGAAGAUGCUUCGGGUGUGGCCCCGGUCUAAGUUCCUUGGAAC
rnacentral:rRNA from 1 species